UACAGGGGGGGCAAGCGUUGUUCGGAAUUACUGGGCGUAAAGGGCCCGUAGGCGGCCAACUAAGUCCGACGUGAAAUCCCUAGGCUUAACCGGGGAACUGCGUCUGAUACUGGAUGGCUUGAGUUCGGGAGAGGGAUGCGGAAUUCCAGGUGUAGCGGUGAAAUGCGUAGAUAUCUGGAGGAACACCGGUGGCGAAGGCGGCAUCCUGGACCGACACUGACGCUGAGGAGCGAAAGCCAGGGGAGCAAACGGG
rnacentral:rRNA from 1 species